rnacentral:rRNA from 1 species
CUGAAUAACUCAGCUAAUCGCACAGUCUAGUACUGGCGAUGUAUCUUUCAAGUGUCUGCCUUAUCAACUUUCGAUGGUAGUUUACAUGACUACCAUGGUUGUAACGGGUAACGGAGAAUAAGGGUUCGACUCCGGAGAGGGAGCCUGAGAAAUGGCUACCACAUCCAAGGAAGGCAGCAGGCGCGCAAAUUACCCACUCUCAGUUCGAGGAGGUAGUGACGAAAAAUAACGAGACAGUUCUCUAUGAGGUCUGUCAUCGGAAUGGGUACAAUUUAAACCCUUUAACGAGGAUCUAUUAGAGGGCAAGUCUGGUGCCAGCAGCCGCGGUAAUUCCAGCUCUAAUAGCGUAUAUUAAAGUUGUUGCGGUUAAAAAG